UUACUGUGUGAUGAUGGUGAUGUUGUGAUGAUAGUGUGAUGAUGGUGUGAUGAUGGUGAUGGUGUGGUGAUGGUGUGAUGGUGUGGUGAUGCUUAGGUGAUGAUGAGGUGAUGGUGUGAUGAUGGUGUGAUGAUGGUGUGGUGAUGGUGAGGUGAUGGUGUGGUGUUGGUGUGGUGAUGGUGAGGUUACUGUGUGGUAAUGGUGUGAUGAUAGUGUGGUGAUGGUGUGAUGAUGGUGUGAUGAUAGUGAUGGUGAUGGUGUGGUGAUGGUGAGGUUACUGUGUGGUAAUGGUGUGAUGAUAGUGUGGUGAUGGUGUGAUGAUGGUGUGAUGAUAGUGAUGGUGAUGGUGUGGUGAUGGUGAGGUUACUGUGUGGUAAUGGUGUGAUGAUAGUGUGGUGAUGGUGUGAUGAUGGUGUGAUGAUAGUGAUGGUGAUGGUGUGGUGAUGGUGAGGUUACUGUGUGGUAAUGGUGUGAUGAUAGUGUGGUGAUGGUGUGAUGAUGGUGUGAUGAUAGUGAUGGUGAUGGUGUGGUGAUGGUGAGGUUACUGUGUGGUAAUGGUGUGAUGAUAGUGUGGUGAUGGUGUGAUGAUGGUGUGAUGAUAGUGAUGGUGAUGGUGUGGUGAUGGUGAGGUUACUGUGUGGUAAUGGUGUGAUGAUAGUGUGGUGAUGGUGUGAUGAUGGUGUGAUGAUAGUGAUGGUGAUGGUGUGGUGAUGGUGAGGUUACUGUGUGGUAAUGGUGUGAUGAUAGUGUGGUGAUGGUGUGAUGAUGGUGUGAUGAUAGUGAUGGUGAUGGUGUGGUGAUGGUGAGGUUUCUGUGUGAUGAUGGUGUGGUGAUGGUGUGAUGAUGGUGUGGUGAUGGUGAGGUGAUGGUGUGGUGUUGGUGUGGUGAUGGUGAGGUUACUGUGUGGUAAUGGUGUGAUGAUAGUGUGGUGAUGGUGUGAUGAUGGUGUGAUGAUAGUGAUGGUGAUGGUGUGGUGAUGGUGAGGUUUCUGUGUGAUGAUGGUGUGGUGAUGGUGUGAUGAUGGUGUGGUGAUGGUGU